rnacentral:rRNA from 1 species
CCUACGGGUGGCAGCAGUGGGGAAUAUUGCACAAUGGGGGAAACCCUGAUGCAGCGACGCCGCGUGAGUGAUGAAGUAUUUCGGUAUUUAAAGCUUUAUCAGCAGGGAAGAUAAUGACGGUACCUGACUAAGAAGCUCCGGCUAAAUACGUGCCAGCAGCAGCGGUAAUACGUAUGGAGCAAGCGUUAUCCGGAUUUACUGGGUGUAAAGGGAGCGUAGACGGCAGGGCAAGUCAGAUGUGAAAGUCCGGGGCUCAACCGCGGGACUGCAGUGGAAACUGUCCGGCUAGAGUGCAGGAGAGGUGAGUGGAAUUCGUGGUGUAGCGGUGAAAUGCUUAGAUAUUAGGAAGAACACCAAUUGCGAAGGCGGCUUACUGGACUGUAACUGACAUUGAGGCUCGAAAGCGUGGGUAGCAAACAGGAUUAGAUACCCCAGUAGUC